UAACAGGUCUGUGAUGCCCUUAGAUGUCC
rnacentral:piRNA from 8 species